rnacentral:misc_RNA from 1 species
AAUGAUCAGUUGAGUGCGGUACUUUGUAGCUAGCGGACGCGUCUUCGGUGGAAGCGGAUCUGGAUGGGUUGAGGCAGCCAAACGUGUGAGUUGCCGAGUUAGAGCGUAUAAAUUGAUGUGUUUUGUAUACAUACUCUAGUGCGAAUGCAGAAAUGAGUAAAUAAAUUCAUAUAACAAAAGAGAAAACACAAUAAAAAUGACAAUUGCGAGGUGCUUUUGAAUAAAUUUGUCAUAGGAUGCAACAACAAAACAAGCAUAAAUCGAAAUAAAUACUAUUUUACGCGGAUGAGUAAACCAAAGUGAAAAAGGCUUAAAAAACAAAAAGAAUAUAGAAAGUGACCUUUAAAUAGGGUGCUCAUUCGGAAGCGACAGCGUUAUUUGAAAGCGAAAUUCGUGACCAGGUGCAGCCGACCAAAUAGUGGAUUCUCCUUUAAUAAACUCAAAAUUAAAGCAGAAAAGUAAAUGCAAGUUUAUACAUACGCCUCAUUAUAGCAGAAUUAGUGGACGCUCCAACUUAGAUUCGAAAAAUCUAGCAGAUCCGAGCAAAUAUUUCGCCUGUUCACAUCAAUCAUACAAUUUCUCGCACUAUGACAACCUGUUGGCAUGUUUUACGAUGGCGCGUUCUGCUUUCAGCCAUAAUAUUACUAAUCAUGAGCUUCAUCCACAUGACCCAAGGUUUCCCAUUUGUCUUCAACACUAAUCGCAAACUCAUAAAUUGGACUGCUCCAGAGGAUAACUGGGAAAUAGAGUUAGCACCACGCAGCAUUACACCGCACGUAGAACUGAAAAAGUUUUCGCACCGCACCGAUCCCAACCCUGGACAAAGCGAUGAAGCGUUUCUGGAGCGAUUGCGGCAGCUCAAGCGCAAUGACACAAUGGCGCGCAUGCUUUGGUACGACACUACACCUGAUGGCCUCAAUUAUCCGCCCUUCGUGGAUAAGGCGCUGAAGCUUUUCAAUCUUAAACAAGUGGCUUUCGAGAUCGAGAACAGUGUAAUGUCCAAAGUGUCUUGCACAGCUUGCAAAGCAGGGGCUGGCUUGCUGCAGCACUAUAUCCGCGCUGGCAAAACGGAGGCGGAGAUCAUUAAAUUGAUUUACGAAUUUUGUGUUAAUCUCAAUAUACAAAGCCCACGCGUUUGCGAGGGAGUGUCGACACUAUUCGGUAGUGAAGUGAUCUACGUCCUUCAGCGCGUCAAUCUCGGGCCAGAUGAGAUUUGUAGUUUCGUUAUUGGCGAUGCUUGCGGCGACGUUUACAAUCCAUACCAUGAGUGGGAGGUGAUAUUCCCGCCAGUACCGAAACCUCCGGCUGCAGAGCUGGGUGUGCCAAAAGAGGCGGCUCCAUUUUUCAAAGUGCUACACAUCUCAGACACACAUUACGACCCACAUUAUGUGGAAGGUUCUAAUGCCAACUGCAACGAGCCACUGUGUUGCCGACUGAGCAGCGGACGUCCGUCUAAUCCAAAUGACGCAGCUGGGAAAUGGGGAGAUUAUCGUAAGUGCGAUACGCCGAAGCGAACUGUGGAUAAUAUGUUGGAACACAUUGCGGACACGCACAAGGACAUUGACUACAUUCUGUGGACUGGUGAUCUGCCGCCACACGAUGUUUGGAAUCAGACCAAAGAAGAGAACUUGGAGAUCAUCAAAGAAACAGUGCGUCAGAUGACUGAAAAGUUUCCGGGUGUGCCUAUCUUCCCAGCGUUGGGCAAUCAUGAAAGUGCGCCGGUGAAUAGCUUUCCGCCACCUUAUGUGAACCAAGUGGAUAUCUCUAUAUCAUGGCUUUAUGAUGAGUUGGAUGUACAAUGGCGUCGAUGGCUGCCGCAAAGUGUCUCGCACACUGUGCGGCGUGGCGCGUUUUACUCAGUCCUGGUCCGACCAGGCUUCCGCAUCAUUUCUCUAAAUAUGAACUAUUGCAACAACAAAAAUUGGUGGCUACUGCUUAACUCUACGGAUCCGGCAACUGAACUUCAAUGGUUCAUUUAUGAGCUGCAAAGUGCUGAGUUCUCCAAUGAAAAAGUGCACGUGAUCGGUCACAUACCACCAGGUCAUCCAGAUUGUUUAAAGGUGUGGUCGCGCAACUUUUAUCGUAUCAUUUCACGAUACGAAAGCACAAUUACGGCACAAUUCUAUGGACACACACACUUUGAUGAAUUCGAAAUGUUCUACGAUCCACACGACCUAAGUCAUCCCACAAGUAUCGCAUAUAUUGGGCCAUCGGUAUCACCUUAUUAUGACCUCAACCCGGGUUACCGCAUUUAUUAUGUGGACGGGGAUCAUGACACUACCACUCGUUUGGUUAUAGAUCACGAGUCUUGGAUCAUGAACUUAAAGGAAGCAAACCUUUACGAUUACCCAAUUUGGUAUAAGUUGUAUACUACUCGCGCGGUAUAUAAUAUGAAGGCUCUCAGGCCAGUGGAUUGGAGUAAUUUAAUUGAUGAGAUGGCGAAUAAUCAGGAACUAUUUGAUUUAUAUUACAAAAAUUACUGGAAGAACUCACCUAUUCGGCCAGCAUGCGAUGCGGAGUGCCGGAAACGAAUGCUUUGUGAUUGCAAGAGCGGGCGGUCGCAUGACAGACGACAUUUCUGCCAAGACGUUGAGGCGAAAAUAGAUGAUGGGUCGUCAAAAUCAUGGAAAUCAUGGCUCUACCGCGGAUUGACCAGCUCCGAGGAGAACACGGCAGAGGAAGCCACAACCACUGAGAAGUGGACGGUGCCGGAGGCGCUUUACAUAUUUACGCGCUAAGGAGUGUGGCGGCAAUGCUUUACGUUCACAAACAUACAUUAAAUUGCUGGAUACCAGAAAGGUUUCUGGUUGCUUUGCUUGGAAAUAAAUGAACAAAACUGUGAAUACAACAAUUUAUAGCCUCAUCUCGUCCAUCACGUACCUGCCCAAGUACCUGUUGGGCUUGGGUUGAGCUGAAUCUAUACUUAGCAGCUUACGAAAACACUCACAUCCGAUGUAAAAAAUAUCCUUUCCAUAUAAAACAUUGACAAAAUCGAACUAUCAGCGAGAAACGAGAGUGGAUGCAUUCUGAGUAUCGAAUACCUUGCGAAUUUUGUCCAGUGAAAGUGCAAAAACAAAACUCAUCCACAAGCUACAAUGAAAUUAAGUCACUUAAAAUCAUUUAAUGUACUAGAUAGUAUGCACAUAAAUACGUGUAGGGAAGUGUACAUACUUACAUAUAUAUGUGCAUUAAUUAUGUGAUCAUUAGGAUUAAAUUAUUUACUUAUAUGUAUGUAUGUAAGUAAAACAUGAUUUUUAAUAUAAUGAUUUUUUGUUAAUCGCUAGUUAAGUGUAUUAUUAUUUAGCAAACGUACACACGCAGUCAUAAAAUAAGCAAAAGGCGAUACAAGUUAACCACAAUUGUUCGCACACCUGCAAAUACACUCAUACGAUUAGUUACAACGCAAAUUAAAUGUUAAUAUAAAUGCAUACGUAAAAUAAGACACAUUUUUAUAGACAAAGCAAAUAAAUAAUUCAUUAAAGUAGAAA